AUACGUAGGGGGCAAGCGUUAUCCGGAUUUACUGGGUGUAAAGGGAGCGUAGACGGAAUGGCAAGUCUGAUGUGAAAGGCCGGGGCUCAACCCCGGGACUGCAUUGGAAACUGUCAGGCUAGAGUGCAGGAGAGGUAAGUGGAAUUCCCAGUGUAGUGGUGAAAUGCGUAGAGAUUGGGAGGAACACCAGUGGCGAAGGCGACUUACUGGACUGUAACUGACGCUGAGGCGCGAAAGUGUGGGGAGCAAACAGGAUUAGAUACCCUGGUAGUCCACGCUGUAAACGAUGAAUACUAGGUGUAGGGGGUAUCAACUCCCUCUGUGCCGCAGCAAACGCAAUAAGUAUUCCGCCUGGGGAGUACGGCCGCAAGGUUGAAACUCAAAGGAAUUGACGGGG
rnacentral:rRNA from 1 species